UUUUAAAAUUGUUUAAAUAGUUUUUCCCCCCUCAAUCUACACCCAAUACCCCAUAACGACAAAGCAAAAACAUUUUUUCAGAAAUGUCUGAUGUGGAGGAGGCCUAGCCUGCUGUCUGAUGUGGAGGAGGCCUAGCCUGGUGUCUGAUGUGGAGGAGGCCUAGCCUGAUGUGGAGGAGGCCUAGCCUGGUGUGGAGGAGGCCUAGCCUGGUGUCUGGUGUGGAG
rnacentral:lncRNA from 1 species